AUGUCGGCCCCCGGCCCCCGGCCCCCGGUUGUCCACCUCGGCGUAGUAGCAGGUGGUGAGCGCGAAGUCGCCGAGCCACGGCAGCCACCCCUGCGGGUCGAUGAGGUCGCCGAUCUCCGACUGGAUGUAGAGGGUGCGGGAGUGCUCCUUCCACGGCCGCCCCAGGAACGUCCGGAGCCUGCCGAUGUGGUCCUUGAACUCCGGGUGCGGCUCGAUGGUGCAGUUGUGGAUGACGAUGCCGCCGGCGGAGUGCCUCUCCUUGCGCCCCUGCGCCGUGAUGAUGUUCUGCUGGUUCUCCAUGCACUUGCGCACCUGGAGGACGCAGUUCUGGAACACCACCUGCGCGUUGCCGAAGAUGAAGUCGAUGGUGCCGCUCACGGUGCAGUCGCGGUAGUACUGCCGGCUCGUGUGCGUGUAGAGCGUGUCCUGGUACCCGUCGAACUGGCACUCGUAGAACACCGACUGGUCGCUCUGCACCCUCAGCGCCACGGCCUGGUGGUUCUUGGCGCCCGCCGUGUUCUCCACCGUGAUCCCGCGCAUGAAGAAGCCGUUGCCGAUCGCCUCCAUGGUGGCCGUGUCCUUGGUGGUGAUGUUCAUCAUAAAGUUCUUGUCCCCCGUGAUGACCGUCUUGCCGGCCCCGUCGCCGAUCAUGACGAGGUUCGUCACGUUGCGCGCCACGGACACGUACUCCUUGUACGUGCCCUCCUUGACGUGCAUCACGUACGUGUCCUCGCUCUUGAGCGGCACCUUGGCCAGCGCCUCGUUGAUGGUCUUGUAGUCGCCGCUGCCGUCCGCCGCCACCGUCAUGUCCGGCUUGAAGUCGGGCUCGCUGGGAGACACCUCCAGCAGCCUCCGCUUGGAGUCCGACAUCCACCUGGGCGCGCCGUCGUGCCCGAGCAGCCGCCGGCUGAAGAUGGACAGGUCCAGGUUGGCGAUGGUGUCCCCGAACUCGUCCACGAUGGACAGGAUGUUCUCCGUCAGCUCCUGGGAGACGUUAAGCGCCUUGCGCAUCUUGGCGGAGGCGUCGGUCGUGGUGUUGGCGAAGCCAUCAAGGCAGGUCUCCUGGUACGUGAGCGCGGAGGUGAGCCACGUCUUGAGGUCGUCCAUGGCGUGCUUGAAGUUGGUCAUCUCGAAGCCGCCGAGCUGGUCGAAGGUGGUCUUGAGGUCGUCGAUGGCGUAGUGGAGCAUCUCCUUGCAGUUCUUGAGCGCGCCCGACGUGCGUGGGUCGUGUUUGAGCUCGUUGAGCAGGCUGGACUCCUGCACGGCCUUCUCGAUCCGCUCCGAGGUGGCCUUGAAGAUGGCCUUGGCCAGCUCCGUGCCUCCGUCGUGGUCGUCGCAUUGCCGGCCGUCUCCCCCAGCGUCUUCUCGCACGCCGCCUUGUAG
rnacentral:rRNA from 1 species